rnacentral:rRNA from 1 species
UACGUAGGGGGCAAGCGUUGUCCGGAUUUACUGGGCGUAAAGAGCGCGUAGGCGGGGAAGCAAGUCCGGUGUGAAAGCCCCCAGCUCAACUGGGGAAGGUCGCUGGAAACUGCUUUUCUUGAGGGUGACAGAGGGAAGUGGAAUUGCUGGUGUAGCGGUGAAAUGCGUAGAGAUCAGCAGGAACACCCGUGGCGAAGGCGGCUUCCUGGGUCACCACUGACGCUGAGGCGCGAAAGCGUGGGGAGCGAACAGG